rnacentral:rRNA from 1 species
AACGAACGCUGGCGGCAGGCCUAACACAUGCAAGUCGAACGCUCGUAGCAAUACGGGAGUGGCGCACGGGUGAGUAACGCGUGGGCACCUGCCCGGUGGUUUGGGAUAACCGUGGGAAACUGCGGCUAAUACCGGAUACGCCCCUAGGGGGAAAGAUUUAUCGCCAUCGGAUGGGCCCGCGUAGGAUUAGCUAGUUGGUGAGGUAACGGCUCACCAAGGCGACGAUCCUUAGCUGGUCUGAGAGGAUGAUCAGCCACACUGGGACUGAGACACGGCCCAGACUCCUACGGGAGGCAGCAGUGGGGAAUAUUGGACAAUGGGGGCAACCCUGAUCCAGCCAUGCCGCGUGAGUGAAGAAGGCCUUCGGGUUGUAAAGCUCUUUUGGCGGGGACGAUGAUGACGGUACCCGCAGAAUAAGCCCCGGCUAACUUCGUGCCAGCAGCCGCGGUAAGACGAAGGGGGCUAGCGUUGUUCGGAAUUACUGGGCGUAAAGGGCGCGUAGGCGGUUUGUUAAGUCAGGCGUGAAAGCCCUGGGCUCAACCUGGGAGGUGCGCUUGAUACUGGCAAGCUUGAGUGCAGGAGAGGAUGGUGGAAUUCCCAGUGUAGAGGUGAAAUUCGUAGAUAUUGGGAAGAACACCGGUGGCGAAGGCGGCCAUCUGGACUGCA